CCCUUAGAUGUUCUGGGCUGCACGCGCGCUACACUGAUGCGCUCAACGAGUUUGCAUCCUUGCCUGGCAAGGUCGGGUAAUCUGUUCAAAAUGCAUCGUGAUGGGGAUAGAUUAUUGCAAUUAUUAAUCUUCAACGAGGAAUUCCUAGUAAGCGCGAGUCAUCAGCUCGUGCUGAUUACGUCCCUGCCCUUUGUACACACCGCCCGUCGCUCCUACCGAUUGAAUGUUCCGGUGAGCUCUUCGGACUGCGCGGUCUGCAGUUUCUGCGUUCCGUGCGGAAAGUUGCGCAAACCUUAACAUUUAGAGGAAGGAGAAGUCGUAACA
rnacentral:rRNA from 1 species